rnacentral:rRNA from 1 species
UUUGGUUUAAGCGCGGAUGGCAUUAAUCCUUUCGGGGAGCAGAGCAGCAAUCACAGCACCUGGCCCGUGACUCUAUGUAUGUAUAACCUUCCUCCUUGGAUGUGCAUGAAGCGGAAGUUCAUUAUGAUGCCAGUUCUCAUCCAAGGCCCUAAGCAACCCGGCAACGGCAUUGAUGUGUACCUAAGGCCAUUAGUUGAAGAACUUUUACAGCUGUGGAAUGGAAACGGUGUACGUACGUGGGAUGAGCACAAACAGGAGGAAUUUAACCUGCACACGUUGCUGUUUGUAACCAUCAACGAUUGGCCCGCUCUCAGUAACCUUUCAGGACAGACAAACAAGGGAUACCACGCAUGCACGCACUGUUUAGAUGACACUGAAAGUAUAUACCUGGACAAAAGCAGGAAGAAUGUGUACCUGGGCCAUCGUCGAUUUCUUCCGACCAACCAUCAAUGUCGA